rnacentral:rRNA from 1 species
CCUACGGGUGGCAGCAGUGAGGAAUAUUGGUCAAUGGACGAGAGUCUGAACCAGCCAAGUAGCGUGAAGGAUGACUGCCCUACGGGUUGUAAACUUCUUUUAUAUGGGAAUAAAAUGUUCCACGUGUGGGAUUUUGUAUGUACCAUAUGAAUAAGGAUCGGCUAACUCCGUGCCAGCAGCCGCGGUAAUACGGAGGAUCCGAGCGUUAUCCGGAUUUAUUGGGUUUAAAGGGAGCGUAGGUGGAUUGUUAAGUCAGUUGUGAAAGUUUGCGGCUCAACCGUAAAAUUGCAGUUGAUACUGGCAGUCUUGAGUACAGUAGAGGUGGGCGGAAUUCGUGGUGUAGCGGUGAAAUGCUUAGAUAUCACGAAGAACUCCGAUUGCGAAGGCAGUUCACUGGACUGCAACUGACACUGAGGCUCGAAAGUGUGGGUAUCAAACAGGAUUAGAUACCCGAGUAGUC